CCUACGGGAGGCUGCAGUGAGGAAUAUUGGUCAAUGGUCGGGAGACUGAACCAGCCAAGCCGCGUGAGGGAGGAGGGUACAGAGUAUCGUAAACCUCUUUUGUCAGGGAACAAAGACUGGGACGCGUCCCCGGAUGAGUGUACCUGAAGAAAAAGCAUCGGCUAACUCCGUGCCAGCAGCCGCGGUAAUACGGAGGAUGCUAGCUUUAUCCGGGUUUAUUGGGUUUAAAGGGUGCGCAGGCGGUCUGUUAAGUCAGCGGUAAAAGCCCGGGGCACAACCCCGGCCCGCCGUUGAACCUGGCAGUCUCGAGUUGGAGAGAAGUAUGCGGAAUGCGCGGUGUAGCGGUGAAAUGCAUAGAUAUCGCGCAGAACUCCGAUUGCGAAGGCAGCAUGCCGGCUCCACACUGGCGCUGAGGCACGAAAGCGUGGGUAUCGAACAGGAUUAGAUACCCCUGUAGUC
rnacentral:rRNA from 1 species